rnacentral:rRNA from 1 species
GAUGAACGCUGGCGGCGUGCCUAAUACAUGCAAGUCGAGCGAACAGACGAGGAGCUUGCUCCUCUGACGUUAGCGGCGGACGGGUGAGUAACACGUGGAUAACCUACCUAUAAGACUGGGAUAACUUCGGGAAACCGGAGCUAAUACCGGAUAAUAUAUUGAACCGCAUGGUUCAAUAGUGAAAGACGGUUUUCCUGUCACUUAUAGAUGGAUCCGCGCCGCAUUAGCUAGUUGGUAAGGUAACGGCUUACCAAGGCAACGAUGCGUAGCCGACCUGAGAGGGUGAUCGGCCACACUGGAACUGAGACACGGUCCAGACUCCUACGGGAGGCAGCAGUAGGGAAUCUUCCGCAAUGGGCGAAAGCCUGACGGAGCAACGCCGCGUGAGUGAUGAAGGUCUUCGGAUCGUAAAACUCUGUUAUUAGGGAAGAACAAAUGUGUAAGUAACUAUGCACGUCUUGACGGUACCUAAUCAGAAAGCCACGGCUAACUACGUG